CCUACGGGGGGCAGCAGUCGAGAAUCAUUCACAAUGGGGGAAACCCUGAUGGUGCGACGCCGCGUGGGGGAAUGAAGGUCUUCGGAUUGUAAACCCCUGUCAUGUGGGAGCAAAUUAAAAAGAUAGUACCACAAGAGGAAGAGACGGCUAACUCUGUGCCAGCAGCCGCGGUAAUACAGAGGUCUCAAGCGUUGUUCGGAAUCACUGGGCGUAAAGCGUGCGUAGGCUGUUUCGUAAGUCGUGUGUGAAAGACGCGGGCUCAACCCGCGGACGGCACAUGAUACUGCGAGACUAGAGUAAGGGAGAGGGAACCGGAAUUCUCGGUGUAGCAGUGAAAUGCGUAGAUAUCGAGAGGAACACUCGUGGCGAAGGCGGGUUCCUGGACAUUAACUGACGCUGAGGCACGAAGGCCAGGGGAGCGAAAGGGAUUAGAUACCCUUGUAGUC
rnacentral:rRNA from 1 species